UAAACCUGGCUGGCACGGGCGAGGCCAAGCCUGCGCCUCUCAAAAACACUAGACCGCCUUCUCCCCCCAAAAUAUUUUUUUUCGCUCUUAUCCCCGUCACAUCUCUCCUUGCGCUCGCUCGGCUGGUCUCGCCUCCGUCCCGGGUCGCUCGCAUCGUCAGGCAGGAAGGAGAUUCGUUUCUUCUUCUUUUUUUUACCUUGCGGUUGCAUGCCCUGUGGCGGCGCUGCUGCUGCUGCCGUGGUGCGGAGGAGCCCAUAUCGAUGGUCAUGGACGCGACGCUGCACGACUGGAGUGCGCCGCUGCCCGGAUCCAAUUCCAAGUGCGACGGCCACCUUCCAAUCUACCCCCAAAUCCCGGCCGCCAAUGGGUUCACGGUGGAGGAGCUCGAGGCGCUGCUGGUCCUGCCGUCCGAUGGCGUCGACGCGGAAGGAUACCUGAAUGCUGCGGCUGCCUCCACCGACAGCGCGUCGCCACCGAGAGAGGUCUCGGUCUCUUCAGCGCCGCCACCGGCGGGGCCGGGCCAGGCGCCGCCAGACGACUCGGAGGGGUUCUCGGACAUCGUGCUGGGGUACAUCAACCGCAUGCUCAUGGCCGAGGAUAUCGACGAGAAGUUCGAGCACUACCCGUCUCUGCUCUCCGCCGAGAAGCCGUUCCUCGACAUCCUCGCCGACCAUCCGCCGUACUCGGGCGGCAGCACCGUCGACAGUCCCGACGGCAGCAGCGUCACCAACUCCUGCAACAGCCUCGGUUCCUGCCACUGCGCCGCGCCGUCCAGUGGGCUCGGGCAGACGCCGCCGUUUCUCGAGUUCCCCACGGCCGCGUUCCUGCAGCCGCCACGGCUGUAUCAGGAUCCGAGCCCCGAGAGCUGCGUGGUGGAUGCAGGCGGCGCGUGGCCGUACGACCCAACGGAAUUCUACCAACUCCAUACCAAUCCUGUGCCUGAGACGCUGCUCUCGCAAUCGUCGUCGUUCGCAUCUUCGAAUGGCAGCAGUGUGGCAUUUUCAGAGGGCUUUGAGUCGUGGCUCAGCACGGCCGGUGUUGUGCCUGAUGUUGGCUUGAGCAAUUUUGUUCUGCAGAACCAACAGGCUGCACAGUUCAGCCGUGGAUUUGAAGAGGCAAGCAGAUUUCUGCCUGUAGAGAGCAAACUUGUGAUUGACGUUGAGAGUUUGCUGUCGGUUGCAAGCUUGCAGGCUGGGGUUAAAGAAGAGAAGUUUGUGGAGGUCAAGACAGAGAAGGCUGGUGCUGAAGUAGCAGUUCACCGUGGAAAGAAGCAUUUUUAUGGCGAUGACUUGGAUGUAGAGGAAGGGAGGUGCUGCAAGCAUUCAGCGCCUGCCAUUAUUGAUUCAGAUCACCUUGUGCGGGAGAUGAUGGACAAGGUCUUGCUAUGCAACGGUGAGACAUGUUCUAAAGGUGUCAAGGAGCUGCGUGAGGCCCUGCGGCACGACGUCGCAAAUCAUCCAAGUGGUGCCCAUGGCAAAGGAUCUGGCCAUGGUAAAGGCCGUGGCAAGAAACAGAGUAAACAACCCAAGAAAGAGGUGGUUGAUUUGGAGACCCUCCUCAUCCACUGUGCUCAGUCUGUGUCCAUUGAUGAUCGGCGGAGUGCGACUGAGCUCCUCAAGCAGAUCAGGCAGCAUGCAUCCGCCAAUGGUGAUGGUGACCAACGUUUGGCACACUGCUUUGCCAAUGGCCUUGAGGCAAGGCUUGCUGGUAAUGGGAGUCAGAUUUACAAGUCAUUUACCAUAUCACGUCUUGCAUGCACUGACGUGCUCAAAGCCUACCAGCUGUACUUGGCGGCUUGUCCAUUCAAAAAGAUCUCUCACUACUUUGCCAAUCAAACCAUUAUGAAUGCGGUGGAGAAGGCAAAGAAAGUUCACAUUAUUGACUACGGCAUAUACUAUGGCUUUCAGUGGCCUUGUCUCAUCCAGCGGCUUUCUACCAGGGCUGGAGGCCCUCCAAAACUUCGUAUCACAGGAAUCGACACGCCUCAGCCUGGUUUUCGACCAGCAGAGCGUAUACAGGAGACUGGGAGAUAUCUAAGUGAUUAUGCUCAGACCUUCAAAGUUCCUUUUGAAUUCCAGGGUAUCGCAUCUCAAUUUGAGGCUGUUCAGAUAGAAGAUCUCCAUAUCGAGAAGGAUGAGGUUCUGAUUGUGAACUGCAUGUUCAAGUUCAAGACUUUGAUGGAUGAGAGUGUGGUGGCUGAGAGUCCAAGAAACAUAGUACUGAACACAAUAAGGAAGAUGAAGCCGCAUGUGUUCAUUCAUGGGAUCACCAAUGGAUCUUACAAUGCACCAUUCUUUGUCUCACGCUUCCGAGAGGCAUUGUUCCACUACUCUGCUGCCUUUGACAUGUUGGAGGCAAACAUUCCAAGGGAUAACGAGCAGAGGCUGCUCAUAGAGUCUGCACUGUUUAAUAGGGAGGCAAUUAACGUAAUAUCUUGUGAGGGACUGGAGAGGAUGGAGAGGCCAGAGACAUACAAGCAAUGGCAGACGCGGAAUCAGAGAGCUGGGUUCAAGCAGCUCCCGCUGAACCAGGAUAUCAUGAAGCGUGCUCGGGAGAAGGUGAAGUGCUACCACAAGAAUUUCAUUAUUGAUGAGGAUAACAGGUGGUUACUACAAGGAUGGAAGGGGCGCAUCCUGUUUGCUCUCUCCACAUGGAAGCCAAAUCACCAUUCUUCCUAGUUUCUGCAGUUUCUAUGACCGUAGAAUACUGUAAAUGGAGACCUGUUCAUAUUCUUGAAUUCUUGGGCUGCUUGUUCCUGGCCAACAACCUAUUAGUAGUCUGGGGAAUGAACAGGUCAACCAGCAGGCAUGCGAGAUGCGACCACGGCCACAUGAAUACAGAUGCUACAGAACAAGGCGUAUCGGCUACAUCACCGGAUGUGUAAUCGGUGCAUGUUGGCUUGGGUAUCUAGAAGAAUCAAAGCCGGCGGCGUGUGAAACUGUUGGACACGACAAAUGGCGCGAAUGAUCCUGGAGCAACUAGCUGCAAGCUACUACUGCUGAAACCGAUAGCCCGCCAUGGACAUCACUGUCUCCUGAAAAGCACGGCGCAUCUGCCAAUUGAAGAGCAACCCAAUUUUUGUCGUGUGUAUCAAUAUCAUCAUGCACAUCACAGAGCACAGGGGAGAAAGAAAAGACUGGGCCGACGAAUCCAGACAUGCCUGCAUUACAAGUUAGAAAGACUUAAAAGUUGUAACAACGACCGGCUAUGCAGGGAAUCUCUCUACAUCUCAACGUUUUUUGGUUCUCUGUGCAUGAAUUUGGAUUUGAAACCUUGUGACAUGAUA